rnacentral:misc_RNA from 1 species
AUUUAAUUUACGAUCCCGUUAUCGCGAUGAAAGAAAAAAAAAAAAUAAACAACAUGGAAUUUAUAAGUACAAGAAAUGGAUUCCGCCGCGGCUCCAACCUACAACUACAAACACAUCUCGCACAGGGAACCAGUUUUGCACGUUAGGCUUGGGAAGAGGAAGUACACAAUGAGUUUUGAGUCAUCUAGCAGCCCCAGCUCAGCGCUCCCCGAUGGGGAAACGCGAACAAACCUUAUCAUCAACUACCUGCCACAGACUCUCACCGACCAAGAGUUUUACAAGAUAUUUGUUGUUGUCGGGCCCAUCAAAAACUGCCGCAUUAUGAAGGAUUUAAAGCAGACUGGCUACUCCUUCGGGUUCGGCUUCGUGGAGUACCAGAAGCCGGAGGACGCAGCCAAGGCCAUCCUGCAGUUGAACAACCUCCCCGUGCAGCACAAGCGCAUCAAGGUGUCCUACGCCCGGCCCCCCGGCGAGGACAUCAAGGAAACCAACCUCUACAUUCAGAAUAUUCCCAGAAAGGAAACAGACUCCAAGGAAACAAACCUUUACAUUGCGAAUGUUCCAAGAUCAUACACAUUAGACCAGUUAGAGGAACUGUUCUCUUCAUAUGGCCAGAUUGUCCAGAAGAAUUUGCUGAAGGACAAGGUUACAGGACUUCCACGUGGCGUUGGAUUUGUGAGGUUUGAUAAGAAGUCUCAGGCAGAAGCGGCGAUUGUGGGCAUGAAUGGCGUUGUUCCUGAGGGCGGGACUGAGCCCCUAGUGGUUAAGGUGGCAGAGGAGCACGGCAAAAUGAAGGCUGCCUACUACGCUGGUUACCAUGCUGGCCUCAGCACCACGAGAGGUGGCGGCGGUGUCGGUCGAGGGCGUGGUAACUACAACAACCGAGGGGGAGGUGGUGGUGGCUACCAGGGACGAGGGAACUACAAUAAUAUGUAUCAUCACAGGUGGUACUAAGCCGAGGAGUGGAAGGUGAUGCCAGCGCCACCCGCCCCCAUCCUCCUCGCAAGCAGCAGGGUGGUAAGAUAGCCCCGGACCGAACCGCCAACCGCUACAACCCGAUCGGCAGCGGCGGCGGCUAUGGCGGUGGGUACGGAGGUGGGUAUGGCAGUGGCGGGAGUUCCUUGGGCUACUCCAACGAUGCGGCUG